rnacentral:rRNA from 1 species
AGUGAAUAGAUACCCUGGUAGUCCCAGCUGUAAACGAUGCGCGUUAGGUGUAUCGGUGACCACGAGUCACCGAGGUGCCGAAGGGAAACCGUGAAACGUGCCGCCUGGGAAGUACGGUCGCAAGGCUGAAACUUAAAGGAAUUGGCGGGGGUGCACCACAACAGGUGGAGCCUGCGGUUUAAUCGGACUCAACGCCGGGAAGCUCACCGGAUAAGACAGCUGAAUGAUAGCCGGGUUGAAGACUCUGCUUGACUAGCUGAGAGGAGGUGCAUGGCCGUCGUCAGUUCGUACUGUGAAGCAUCCUGUUAAGUCAGGCAACGAGCGAGACCCACGCCAACAGUUGCCAGCAUGUCCUCCGGGAUGGUGGGGACACUGUUGGGACCGCCUCUGCUAAAGAGGAGGAAGGAAUGGGCAACGGUAGGUCAGCAUGCCCCGAAUUAUCCGGGCUACACGCGGGCUACAAUGGUCAGGACAAUGGGUAUCAACACCGAAAGGUGAAGGCAAUCU